rnacentral:rRNA from 1 species
ACGGAGGCAGCAGUGGGGAAUAUUGCACAAUGGGGGAAACCCUGAUGCAGCGACGCCGCGUGAGUGAAGAAGUAUUUCGGUAUGUAAAGCUCUAUCAGCAGGGAAGAAAAUGACGGUACCUGACUAAGAAGCCCCGGCUAACUACGUGCCAGCAGCCGCGGUAAUACGUAGGGGGCAAGCGUUAUCCGGAUUUACUGGGUGUAAAGGGAGCGUAGACGGUAUGGCAAGUCUGAAGUGAAAUGCCAGGGCUUAACCCUGGAACUGCUUUGGAAACUGUCGUACUAGAGUGCAGGAGAGGUAAGUGGAAUUCCUAGUGUAGCGGUGAAAUGCGUAGAUAUUAGGAGGAACACCAGUGGCGAAGGCGGCUUACUGGACUGUAACUGACGUUGAGGCUCGAAAGCGUGGGGAGCAAACAGGAUUAGAUACCCUGGUA